rnacentral:rRNA from 1 species
GACGAAGGUGGCAAGCGUUAUUCGGAUUUACUGGGCAUAAAGCGCGCGUAGGCGGCUUGGCAAGUCGGGGGUGAAAGCCCGCAGCUCAACUGCGGAACUGCCUUCGAUACUGCCGGGCUUGAGGGCGGGAGGGGUGAUUGGAACUCCAGGUGUAGCGGUGAAAUGCGUAGAUAUCUGAGGAACACCGGAGGCGAAGGCGAAUCACUGGACCGCUUCUGACGCUGAGGCGCGAAAGCUAGGGGAGCGAACAGG